rnacentral:rRNA from 1 species
CAUUAAUGAAACACACGAGUCGAGGAAGAAGGGGAAGUGAGAAAGACUAUCGCUGGCUCUGUGUUCCCAUGGAGUAAUGUGCACGUCCAUCGCUUUUCCCCUUUCUCGUUCGUAAAUUCACACUCACACCUGUGCACCAUGGUAGAUCACCUUCGAAAGAGGGGGGGUCUAUGUUCAUCAUAUUUAUGAUCACGCUCGUCGUAUGGCCAUAGAAUGAUAAAUGUUAUGAAUGUAGUACAACUUUCAGCAACGGAUCUCUUGGCUCUCGCAUCGAUGAAGAACGCAGCGAAUUGCGAUAAGUAAUGUGAAUUGCAGAUUUCCAGUGAAUCAUCGAAUCUUUGAACGCACCUUGCGCUCCUUGGUAUUCCGAGGAGCAUGCCUGUUUGAGUGUCAUUGAGUUCUCAACCAUGUCUUGAUUGAUCAUGGCUUGGAGAUGGGGGCUGCUGGGCCAUUUCAGGUUCGGCUCUCCUGAAAUGCAUUAGCAAGAUGGGUUGGCUAGUCUUUGGACGUGCACGGCCUCGGACGUGAUAAUGAUCGUCGCGGCUGGAGCGUCUGAGAUGGCGAUGUUCAAUAAGGCCCAUUAUUAGCUUCUAAUAAGAAAGAAAAAGACAGAGAUAGGAAAGGGAUCCUUGCUCAGUCAAGCUUAGCUAUUAGCUGGAGUCCUAAUCCUGGACGCUGGCGAAACGCACGGCAGGAUGGACAUGGAGAACAGAUCAUCUCUGAUCGAACGCUUUCACAUUGAAACUUGACCUCAAAUCAGGUAGGACUACCCGCUGAACUUAAGCAUAUCAAUAAGCGGAGGAAAAGAAACUAACAAGGAUUCCCCUAGUAACUGCGAGUGAAGCGGGAAAAGCUCAAAUUUUGAAUCUGGCGGUCGGAAGGCCGUCCGAGUUGUAAUCUAGAGAAGCGUCUUCCGCGCUGGACCGUGUACAAGUCUCCUGGAAGGGAGCGUCAUAGAGGGUGAGAAUCCCGUCUCUGACACGGAGGCCCAGGGCUAUGUGAUACGCUCUCAACGAGUCGAGUUGUUUGGGAAUGCAGCUCUAAAAGGGUGGUAAAUUCCAUCUAAAGCUAAAUACUGGCGAGAGACCGAUAGCGAACAAGUACCGUGAGGGAAAGAUGAAAAGAACUUUGGAAAGAGAGUUAAACAGUACGUGAAAUUGCUGAAAGGGAAACGAUUGACGUCAGUCACGUUGGUCAGGGAUCAACCUUGCAAAGCGGGGUGCACUUCCUGGCAGACGGGUCAGCAUCAGUUUGGAUUGCUGUACAAUGGCAAAGGGAAGGUGGCACUCCUCGGAGUGUGUUAUAGCCUUUUGUCGUCUGCAGGGAGCUAGACUGAGGAACUCGGCAUGGCCCUCGGGUC